rnacentral:tRNA from 1 species
GGUCCCAUCGUCUAGUGGUCUAGGAUACUGGCCUCUCACGCCGGAGACACGGGUUCGAAACCCGUUGGGACUACCA